CAGCCAGACUCCUACGGGAGGCAGCAGUGGGGAAUAUUGCACAAUGGGGGAAACCCUGAUGCAGCAACGCCGCGUGAGUGAAGAAGUCAUUCGUGAUGUAAAGCUCUAUCAGCAGGGAAGAAAAUGACGGUACCUGAGUAAGAAGCCCCGGCUAACUACGUGCCAGCAGCCGCGGUAAUACGUAGGGGGCAAGCGUUAUCCGGAUUUACUGGGUGUAAAGGGGGCGCAGACGGCAGCGCAAGCCAGGAGUGAAAGCCCGGGGCCCAACCCCGGGACUGCUCUGGAAACUGCGGCGCUGGAGUACGGGAGGGGCAGGCGGAAUUCCUGGUGUAGCGGUGAAAUGCGUAGAUAUCAGGAGGAACACCGGCGGCGAAGGCGGCCUGCUGGACCGUGACUGACGUUGAGGCUCGAGAGCGUGGGGAGCAAACAGGAUUAGAUACCCUCGUA
rnacentral:rRNA from 1 species